UACGUAGGGUGCAAGCGUUGUCCGGAAUUAUUGGGCGUAAAGAGCUCGUAGGCGGUCUGUCGCGUCUGCUGUGAAAACUCAGGGCUUAACCCUGAGCUUGCAGUGGGUACGGGCAGACUAGAGUGCGGUAGGGGAGACUGGAAUUCCUGGUGUAGCGGUGAAAUGCGCAGAUAUCUGGAGGAACACCGGUGGCGAAGGCGGCAUCCUGGACCAAUAUUGACGCUGAGGAGCGAAAGCCAGGGGAGCAAACGGG
rnacentral:rRNA from 1 species